rnacentral:rRNA from 1 species
GUGGGGAAUCUUCCGCAAUGGACGAAAGUCUGACGGAGCAACGCCGCGUGAGUGAAGAAGGUUUUCGGAUCGUAAAGCUCUUUCGUUAGGGACGAACGUGCUCUUUGUGAAUAAUGGGGAGUAAUGACGGUACCUAAAUAAGAAGCCACGGCUAACUACGUGCCAGCAGCCGCGGUAAUACGUAGGUGGCAAGCGUUGUCCGGAAUUAUUGGGCGUAAAGCGCGCGCAGGCGGGAUAUCAAGUCUGUCUUAAAAGUGCGAGGCUCAACCUCGUGAGGGGACAGAAACUGGUAUUCUUGAGUGUCGGAGAGGAAAGUGGAAUUCCAAGUGUAGCGGUGAAAUGCGUAGAGAUUUGGAAGAACACCAGUGGCGAAGGCGACUUUCUGGACGAUGUCUGACGCUGAGGCGCGAAAGCUAGGGGAGCGAACGGGAUUAGAAACCCCGGUAGUCC